rnacentral:rRNA from 6 species
UGACCUCGGAUCAGGUAGGAAUACCCGCUGAACUUAAGCAUAUCAAUAAGCGGAGGAAAAGAAACCAACAGGGAUUGCCUC